rnacentral:rRNA from 1 species
UACGUAGGGACCAAGCGUUGUUCGGAUUUACUGGGCGUAAAGGGCGCGUAGGCGGCAAUUCAAGUCAGCUGUGAAAUCUCCGGGCUUAACUCGGAACGGUCAGCUGAUACUGCCUUGCUAGAGUGCAGAAGGGGCAAUCGGAAUUCUUGGUGUAGCGGUGAAAUGCGUAGAUAUCAAGAGGAACACCUGAGGUGAAGACGGGUUGCUGGGCUGACACUGACGCUGAGGCGCGAAAGCUAGGGUAGCAAACGGG